rnacentral:rRNA from 1 species
UACGUAGGGUGCGAGCGUUAAUCGGAAUUACUGGGCGUAAAGCGUGCGCAGGCGGUUCGUUGUGUCCGUCGUGAAAGCCCCGGGCUUAACCUGGGAAUUGCGAUGGAAACUAGCGAGCUGGAGUGUGGCAGAGGGGGGUGGAAUUCCGCGUGUAGCAGUGAAAUGCGUAGAGAUGCGGAGGAACACCGAUGGCGAAGGCAGCCUCCUGGGAUAACACUGACGCUCAUGCACGAAAGCGUGGGGAGCAAACAGG